GGACGAAUAGCUCCAAUGGCAGAGCAUCACGUUGAAGUCGUGACAGUGUUGGUUCGAACCCAACUUCGUCCA
rnacentral:tRNA from 1 species